rnacentral:misc_RNA from 1 species
GAUGUUCAACUAAGCUACACUCUCAAAACUCACAAAUAUUAUAGGAAUUACUCUAUAAAUGAGGUUAUCCACACAUUAAUAUUGCACAAGAUCUCUAAAGCAGCAAUAAAAUAAACUCAAUUUGGAUGUUGUAGAGAAAUAAUUGAGACAAAACUACUGGGGGUGGCUGAACAUGUUUUAUUGCCAACAAUCUCUAAAUGCCCCUCUUUCCAAUAUUAGAGAAAUGAAUUUAUUCAUACGGAUGACUAAGAUGUCAA